CUGUAGGUGUCACCGUGAAGGAUGGCAGCAGAGUGGCCGAUUUUUUAUGAGGACAGUCAUUCCCUGUCCCCUGGGCUUUCAGCAGAGGAAAGACUGUUCAUUUCUUCCAAAGUGGCAGUAGUUGGAGCACAUAACGUCUGUUUUUUGGAUUAUGCUCAUCGUUUUUAAAUUAAGUUCUUCAGGGAAGAGGAAAGAAGCUAAACUCACCUGCUGAGCCAACUCUCUAGUGGGUGCCAGGACUAAGGCCUGGGUGGCCUUUAGAUCCAAUUCAAUCUGUUGCAGAAUUGAUAUGGCAAAAGUGGCAGUUUUCCCAGUCCCAGAUUGGGCUUGAGCAAUCACAUCAUAACCUGAAAAAACAAGGAAAUUUGAUAUGGUUAAGAAGCACUCUUUGGAACAGUGGGACAUUCAAAGGCCCUGCUCAACAAAGUCAACAAGCAACCGAGAGAGAUUAAGUGCCAAGCAUUAAGUGCUUCAGACUUUCUAUCACAACAUGGUACCCAGAGAACAGAUCUUGAAGCCAGGUCAGGUUAUUAACUCAUUUGGUACAGCCGCACUAAAACACUACCUUAUUGAAAUUACACCAGCAAUCCACGUAUCCAGGGCAUGAACCAGGCAUGGGCACAAAUCAAAAGCCAAGCUGGGAUAAACAAGGGGUUGCUUUAGCCCUGGCUGAUAUAAGACAGGCACCACCAACCAGGUGCCACUCUACCCAGGUCAGGGACAGUCAAGAACUUGUUGGAUCUUACCCUUGAUACAAGGAAGAAUGGCUCGCUGCUGGAUAGCAGAGGGCUUCUCAAAACCAUAAGCGUAGAUGCCACGGAGGAGGGAUUCUGAGAGGUUCAUGUCGUCGAAGCUGUCAACAAUCUCAUUCCAGUUACUCUGUACGAUGCAAAAAAAAGA